CCAAUGGAGUUGAUAUGCAUUAAGCUACGUGUCCUAUUACUGCAUCCAAGCGGAUGACAUGUAGCACAGAAAACUCUUUUGCAAAACCUAUUGCUUUCUAUUCUUCCAUGGCCCUAAUAGCAGCUUGAAUAAUAACAAGUAUAUGUCUUUGUCAAUCCGGUGGAUUAAUCUAGGGUUCAUUGUCUGGAGAAAUAUCAUUUGUUUUUGUAUCAUCCUGGUGCAAAUUGACAGAUGUUAAAAGACAAUUGCAUAUGCAUGGGGGCAAAGGGAAACUAAGUGUUGGACUGCUCGUCCGUGUAACACAAUUUCUUUUCUCGCAAGGACUUCUUCUUUUCUUUUGGAAGAUGUUUAAAUUGUUCCUCAUCAAAUUGAUGUACCUUUAUGUUGAUUGGAUGUAAAAAUUUUAUUAUGUUUCAAGUAAAAAAUAUUUCUGCGAG